GAUGAACGCUAGCGGCAGGCUUAACACAUGCAAGUCGAGGGGUAUAUUUCUUCGGAGAUAGAGACCGGCGCACGGGUGCGUAACGCGUAUGCAAUCUACCUUUUACAGAGGGAUAGCCCAGAGAAAUUUGGAUUAAUACCUCAUAGUAUAUAGACACGGCAUCGAGAUUAUAUUAAAGUCACAACGGUAAAAGAUGAGCA
rnacentral:rRNA from 1 species